GAUGAACGCUGGCGGCGUGCUUAACACAUGCAAGUCGAACGAUGAAACCUUUUUGAGCCUUCGGGUAAGAUGUGGUGGAUUAGUGGCGAACGGGUGCGUAACACGUGAAUAACCUACCUUAGACUUCGAGAUAACAUCGAGAAAUCGAUGCUAAUAUCGAAUGUCCUAAAGAAUUCGCAUGAAUUUUUUAGAAAAGCUCCGGCGGUCUAAGAUGGAUUCGCGGCCUAUCAGCUUGUUGGUGAGGUAAUGGCUCACCAAGGCUUCAACGGGUAGCCGGCCUGAGAGGGUGACCGGCCACAUUGGGACUGAGAUACGGCCCAGACUCCUACGGGAGGCAGCAGUGGGGAAUAUUGCACAAUGGACGCAAGUCUGAUGCAGCGACGCCGCGUGAGGGAUGACGGCCUUCGGGUUGUAAACCUCUUUUAGUAGGGAAGAAGCGAAAGUGACUGUACCUAAAGAAAAAGCACCGGCUAACUACGUGCCAGCAGCCGCGGUAAUACGUAGGGUGCAAGCGUUAUCCGGAAUUAUUGGGCGUAAAGGGCUCGUAGGUGGUUUGUCGCGUCUGAUGUGAAAAUUCUAGGCUCAACCUGGAAACUGCAUCGGGUACGGGCGAACUAGAGUAUGGUAGAGGAGUUUGGAACUCCUGGUGUAGCGGUGGAAUGCGCAGAUAUCAGGAAGAAUACCAACAGCGAAGGCAGGACUCUGGGCCAUAACUGACGCUGAGGAGCGAAAGCAUGGGGAGCGAACAGGAUUAGAUACCCUGGUAGUCCAUGCUGUAAACGUUGGGCACUAGGUGUGGGGUCCGGUCCACGGACUCCGUACCGUCGCUAACGCACUAAGUGCCCCGCCUGGGGAGUACGGCCGCAAGGCUAAAACUCAAAGAAAUUGACGGGGGCCCGCACAAGCAGCGGAGCAUGCGGAUUAAUUCGAUGCAACGCGAAGAACCUUACCAAGGCUUGACAUAUAUCGGAAAGGUCUAGAGAUAGACUCCCCUUCGGGCCGUUAUACAGGUGGUGCAUGGUUGUCGUCAGUUCGUGUCGUGAGAUGUUAGGUUAAGUCCUUCAACGAGCGCAACCCCUGUCCUAUGUUGCCAGCGGAUAAUGCCGGGGACUCAUGGGAGACCGCCGAGGUCAACUCGGAGGAAGGUGGGGAUGACGUCAAAUCAUCAUGCCCCUUACGUCUUGGGCUUCACGCAUGCUACAAUGGCUGGUACAAAGAGGUGCGAUAUCGUAAGGUGGAGCCAAUCUCAAAAAGCCAGUCUCAGUUCGGAUUGGGGUCUGCAACUCGACCCCAUGAAGUCGGAGUUGCUAGUAAUCGUAGAUCAGCAGCGCUACGGUGAAUACGUUCCCGGG
rnacentral:rRNA from 1 species